rnacentral:rRNA from 1 species
AACGAACGCUGGCGGCAUGCCUAACACAUGCAAGUCGAACGAAACGUUCGGGUCUAGUGGCCCCCGAGUUCGUAACGCGUGGGAACCUGCACUUGGGGUCGGCAUAACUCCACGAAAGGGGUACUAAUACGAGAUAAUAUCUACUGCCGGAAGAUUUAUCGCCCUUGGAUGGUCCCGCGUUGGAUUAGCUAGUUCGUAGGGUAAAAGCUUACCAAGGCGACGAUCAGUAGCUGGUCUGAGAGGAUGCUCAGCAAAACUGGGACUGAGACACGGCCCGGACUCCUACGGGAGGCAGCAGUAGGGAAUAUUGGACACUGCGCGAAAGCCUGAUCCAUCAAUGCCGCGUGAGUGUUGAAGGCCUGAGGGUUGUAAAGCUCUUUUACCCGGGAUGAUAAUGACAGUACCGUGAGAAUAAGCCCCGGCUAACUCCGUG